AAAUCUACGGCAAUUGGGUAUCUCUUAUGAUUAUUUGACGGAGGCUGGUUGGAAAGAAUACCAUAUCAAUAAUCUUGUCCAUCUAACUAAACUUCAAUCAUUAAACUGUUCUAUUGAAUAUACGCUCCCCAAUUUCUUAGACAAUAUCACUUUUCCGACAUCACUCAGAAAGUUGACUUUAAAAGGCACCGAACUUCAUCCUUCCAAAUUGCUGAUUCUUGGUUCGAUGCCAAAUCUUGAAGUGCUGAAAUUGAAAUGGAAUACCUUCCUUUGUCCGGAGUGGGAACCAAGUGAAGGAGAGUUUCUUAAAUUGAAAUUUCUACUAUUACACGACGUUGAACUGAAGUACUGGAUAGCUGAUAGUAUCCACUUUCCGAGUCUCGAGCACCUAAAAAUUUUUGAUUGCGGACUGCUGGAUGAGAUCCCUAGUGGUUUUGGAGAAAUUUCAACUCUUCAAUCCAUCGAGUUGUAUGUCUGUUGUGAUUCAAUUGUAGAAUCAGCAAAGAAAAUAGAAGAGGCACAAUUGGAUUGGGGGAACGAUGCGUUCAAGUUAAUAUAUUGAGAAGUACUAAAUGUGAUGAGUUUCAAAGUUGUCUAUUCCAAUAAUUUAUUGGUACCAUUUUCUUUCGUAAACCUUUCCAUUUUAAAUUUUUCGCUUUCUUGUCUUUAUCUACAUUCAUACAUCUCCUCCUCUGAAUUUGAUACAGUCUGCAGUUCAAGAUAUGAGAGCUCAGUUUACCAACUUCAAUGCAGAUGCUGUGCAUUAAGCGUGCAAUUAAGUUUCUCGAAAGUUUGUACUGUACAACCAUGAUUUCAUUUAAUGUCCUUGUUUGUCUACGUUGUUUCUUUUGCUUUCCACUCUCUUUAUUUGUCGUUUUCACAUGAAUUUAUUAAUUGAAAAAAUCAUGAUUCAUGUAUCAUUGUUCUCGUCAUUCUAGAGAUUUACAUUUUGUGUGCAG
rnacentral:lncRNA from 1 species